UGCCCGCCCGACUGACUGGACUAGGGAUGAGACACCUGCUCUGGUUCCUGCCUCUGAUCCUGCUGGCAUGGCCAGUCCAGAGCCUGAGGUGUCACGAGUGCUUGGCGUCAGGGAAUUGCUUCCAGCCCACAUCUUGCAAGGCCAAUGCCCGAUACUGCCUGACUACCUGGAACAGUCCCCCAGGACAGGAAACACUUGUUAUAAAGUCAUGUGCUUAUACCUGCCCUGGCUUCCAAGAGAGCCUGGCUUACUCCCGAGCCUCCUGUUGCAAUACUGAUCUCUGCAAUGGCACCAUGAGCCUCAGUGCCAACUGGGGGUUGCUGGCCCUCAGUGUCUGGUGUGCCUUCCUUGGCAGGUAGUGGUGGAACCCAGUCCAAGGCACAGUCAAGAGUGCAGGAUUACAAGUCUGAAGCCAGGUCCCACUGGUGGCUGACCUGCUUUGUGGCCUUGGUGUGGUGUUUCCGCAUUUCCAACCAGAAGGAUUCCAGGAGAGAAUGAACACACAAAUGGACCUUACAAGAUAUCAGACACGCCACUCAAGGUCAUGGCCACUGUCCAGGGUGCUGCAUUCUGAUCACCAACCUGAGAGCUGAUUACCUUCCAGCCUCCAGGGACUGUGCUGUUAGGUGGUCCUGGUGGUAAAUCUGUUGCUAAGCCAGGCUGAGGCAGGAGCCUCUGGAAGUCUAUGCCAUUGUUCUUCUUUACUGACGUUCCAGGGUUCAAACCCCAAGCAACUGCAGAGCUGGGCCCUGUGCCACCACCUCAGGUGAGCAGGAGCCUUGGUGGGACACUAGAACUGCAUUGCCAGCAUUGAAGCAUGCUGCUGUGAGGUGGUCCAGAGGCCAUUGAGAAACGCCAAGCCUUCCAAUGACUGGGGCAGGAGCCGUCACCCACACAGGGACAGACACACCCCUGAGCAUCAAGUGGGGUAGUGCUUGCAGAAGGGGCAGCACACACGUAGCCUCAGUAUCAUCGUCACUCCAGGGCUGGUCCUGCCCAACUCCAUCAGGAUCUCAACUGUGAAAACUCCAGUACAUACUGGAUCCAAGAGCACGGGGAUAAGAAGAGCAAAGGCUAGGCCUCACCCAGCUGUGAGGCCACUUCAGAGCAAAGCCUGAGGUCUCCCUUCUCUCUGGUAACUGGUUGACAACUGGGUCAGCUUGUCAACCCUCAGGUAUUGUCCACUCUUUAUUUAAGAGUGGCUACCUCCCAGCACAACAUGUAGCAGGCUCUCCCCUCAGAGACCCAAAGGCCCAAACAACACCUGCCCUGGUCUCUCCAGUGGGGCCUUGACAGGCACUGGCCAGCAGAGCAGAUCAUGGAAGGGAGUUGUGGAAAGCCUACCAGCCUGCCCUGUGGUCAACUGGCUUCUCACCUUACUCUCCUUCUCACCUGCCUCUCCUCUUCCUCCUCUUGAAGAGAGAAGGUGCACAGGCUCCCCACUUAAUGCAAAAAUGGGGCUAGGCUGGGGUCCCCUCUGACCCUAAGCACUUAUCAGGACUCUGGGGCUCUUCUGCAACCAGGCCCCUCAAUUCAGCCAUCAAGGGGACACAGCCUGGGAAGACUGGUGUCACCAGCCUCCUCAGGAACCCUGGAUGACUCUCACCCACAUACCAGGACUCAAGAUGCCCUUUGUCUCAUCAACCCAGAGGUGGGACAUCUAU